GCGUUAUGAUUAGGCCACAUAAGCACCUAGAACAUAGGUUUCUUCGGGAACGUUCUACGAGCAGCAUAGCCACGUUGUGGCGGCCACGCGCCAAACCUGAAAAAGAGGAAAUGCUGUAAUAUCCCAAAACAACGGGACAGAGAUAGCUCUUCUUCGAUGGCUUCCAAGGCGAUGAGCGUGGCAGCAGAGAAGAUAGGGACGGCGGCGCGGCGCCAAGCCGUGUCGCUAACGGACGCCGCCGCCUCCAGAAUACGGCAGCUACUACAGCAGCGUCAGAGGGCCUUCUUGAAGCUGGGAGUCAAGACUCGCGGCUGUAACGGCUUAUCCUACACCCUCAAUUACGCAGAUGAAAAAGGGAAGUUUGAUGAGUUGGUUGAGGAUAAGGGUGUUAUGAUACUGAUUGAUCCAAAGGCCCUUAUGCAUGUCAUUGGAACUAAAAUGGAUUUUGUAGAUGACAAACUAAGGUGUAUUUGUGUUCUAAUUAUCUAUUUUAGAAGAACAUGGAACUACAAACUAUGUGUCCAAGUAGGUAAAUUUGAAAUCUUAUUUCUUUGUACUGAUACUUGUGGUUUGCAUAAUAAUGUUUCAUUGUUUUGCAAAUGAUGUAAUUCAAUAAUCAAAAUAAUCAUACUUCCAAAGACAUAUAGUAUCAUUUUUAGGGGAAUUUAGUUUAUACAAGAUAUUCAUCUUGGUAAUAAGAUGCCGUGACACUGAUGCUUUGGUAAUUAACUAUAUUUUGUUAUUCUUUACGAGACCCACACAAUUAUUCUAGAAACAGAAUAUUAAAACUAGUAGAGCGUGUGUGCUAUAACAGUUAACAGAAUUUAAUGCUUUCUAAUUUGUUUUUGCUCCUUUUCUUUAGACAACCAUGCUGGCCUGCGACUAAAUAUAACGAAUAAGACUGAGGAUUUCACCCCUGUUAAUUAAUUGAGAUUACCUCAAGAAAUCUGCACCUUAAAGGAUUAUUAGUUAAUCCACUGAAUUCUUAAUACAAGAAAACAGUUAAGAGCACAAUCAACUCAUGCAAUGUGUAAAAUACAGGGCUUAUGACGUGUAGAAGUCUGUUCAUUUCAUGAUUGAGAUACUUCAAAUCAAUAAUUAGCAAAGUUAUUGAAUAGAGACACAUAAAAUUAAUCGUGCAGGAACUGUGACUCAAAAACAAAUAUAUUCAAAGCUUGUGACAGAUUAAACACAUGUUGCAUCUUAUGAAAUCUUCCCAUUACAAAACUUUCUCCUCAUACAGAACCAGCCCAUUAAAGAGUUUAAAACACAUGCAAAUAUGUUCUUACUGCACACAUAACAUACACAUCCAGCAUUAGCAAGUUUCAACUAAGUAUACAUGCGUUCAAUUAAAAUCUCAAUUAACUCAUUCAAUCUGCUAGGAGCCUACUUUCUUGUACCAACACCUGAAAUUCCCAUAGCCAGUGGCUAUUCUGUCUCCUUCAUUUAGCAAGUAUUUUGUAAUCCUUACUUCUCUAUCUCAUUUUGUAGCUUUAUUCCUCUAAGAGGGACAUGCAAGAGAAUUUCUUACUCAAGCUUCUUCACUUUGAUAAAAUUCUCUUCAUCAGAAUGUUAGCAUCUUUGUGGCUUCAAUUUAGGAACUGCAUAUUUGGGCAUUGAUCUGCUUGUGACAGAAACUAUUUACCGCCUCCUUCGCCCCGACUCUGCAUUAAUUUGUGCUUUUGCAUUAGUCAAUUAUUUUCUUUUCCAAAUCCCGAAUAUCUUGCCAGUAUGAGUAUAUGCAUUAUUAAAAGAAGCUUUUGAUGAAAUGUGGUGUGAAUUUGUGUUGCAUGUUAUGCUUAGCUCCGGGGAUGAUUAGUGAUUUUUCUAUCUCAAAUGCAUGUAGACAAAAUGUCUGCAUCAAUGAAGGAAGAUAUUGAUGAAAUGGCAUGAAAAUUACUUUACAGUUAUUUUGCUGUGCUCGUUUCUGUUACUUGAUCGGAAUUUAUUUUCGUCAAUCCAAAUUCCAAAGGUCAGUGUGGUUGUGGUGAAUCUUUCAUGACAACAGGAAGUAGUGGAUCUUCUAAGCCAUGAAAUAGUUAAAAUUGCUAUCCAAGC